UUGAGCACCCUAUAUACAAAAGUUGC
rnacentral:piRNA from 1 species